rnacentral:rRNA from 1 species
GAGGAAUAUUGGUCAAUGGACGCAAGUCUGAACCAGCCACGUCGCGUGAAGGAAGACGGCCCUACGGGUUGUAAACUUCUUUUAUACGGGAAUAAAGUGCCCCACGUGUGGGGUUUUGCAUGUACCGUAUGCAUAAGGAUCGGCUAACCCCGGGCCAGCAGCCGCGGUAAUACGGAGGAUCCGAGCGUUAUCCGGAUUUAUUGGGUUUAAAGGGUGCUCAGGCGGGGGGUUAAGUCGGCGGUGAAAUUUUGCAGCUCAACUGUAAAAGUGCCUUCGAAACUGGUUCCCUUGAGUGCGGAUGAGGUAGGCGGAAUUUGUGGUGUAGCGGUGAAAUGCAUAGAUAUCACGAGGAACUCCGAUUGCGAAGGCAGCUCUCUAAGCUUGUAUUGACGCUGAUGCACGAAAGCGUGGGGAUCAAACA